GAACCGGCUGAGAGCAGGUGGACUUCGCCCCCAAGGGGAAGCGACAUCAGGAAGAGCAGCCGAGCAGAUUCCUGUUCGUCACAGCAGAGUUUUGUGCCUCAGUUGAUGAAGAGAUCUUGCGAGCUGUCAGCAGGAUGGACCAAACCAACAGCCGCAGAAACGGUGGAUGUGAACCUCGUCCCCCACCGUACAGCUACGAGGAGUAUGGAGAGGGUCCUUACACAGGGGUCAGCUAUCAGGUAGGGAAAGGAAAUGUCAUGGUGGUGUCCCCUUCUGGUCCCUAUGUUAACAUGGUCCAUCCUGAGGGUGCGGCAGGAGACCCCAAGCAGUACAGUGAAGCUCCACCUGUCUACUCGAAUGGCUUAGAGGAGAGCAGCUUCAGUGACGCUGCUAUACGAAGAGGUUUCAUAAGGAAAGUCUACUUGACCUUGAUGAUUCAGCUGCUGGUGACAGUCGGGAUCAUCUGUGCUUUUCUUUACUGGGACGCUCUCCGGGAAUGGGCGUUGGACACCUACUGGUUCUCCUACUGCAUGAUGGCAGUGGUGAUUUUGCUCAUCUUGUUCUUUUCCUGCUGUGACAACCUCCGUCGUCAAGUCCCCCUCAAUUUCAUCGCCCUGGGCCUGUUUACUGUCGCAGAGGGUGUAAUGCUCGGAUCUGUGGCAGUGUUCUUUGCUGCUGAAGCAGUUCUGUGGGCUGUGGGGGCAACGGCGCUGGUGUCCUUUGCCUUGACCGUGUUUGCGAUGCAGUCAAAGUGGGACUUCACUGCAGUAAAUGGCAGCCUGUGGGUGUUCGCCUGGACCCUCUUCUCGUUUGCAUUGCUCUGUGCCAUCCUUCGCUCUCAGUAUCUUUACAUCGCGUACGCCUGCCUGGGAACUCUGCUGUUCUCCUUAUACCUGGUGUUCGAUACCCAGCUCAUCCUGGGCGGGAAACACAGAAAGUAUGAAGUGUCUCCUGAGGAGUAUGUGUUCGCCGCCCUCAACCUCUAUUUGGACAUCGUCUCCCUGUUCCUGCUCCUGCUGCAGCUCAUCGGCCUCUGCCGCUAAAACAACACGCCGUGACUGACAUCCCAUAAUCAAUGCAGGGACCCAAGACGACUGCUUCUGUUAAAAUAUCUACAACUUAAUGAUCGAAACAAGAAGCUGUGAUUGAGAGCGAACAGAGGAAAAAAAAAAAUGGCGGACUCUAUAGAGAGGACCUGCUCCUGAUGUACAUAUAAAGUAUUUAAAUAUAAAGGUCCCUUUUAAAGACAUAAGGUGUCAGUGAUAGUGUUGUAUGUAUUAAUAAAGCACACAAAUUAAAACUCAACACAUAGUUUAUUGGCAUCACACAUCAAACUUUUUUUUUUUCA